rnacentral:rRNA from 1 species
CAAUGGAUGGUACUGCUCUGGCUGGGGUUCACUUUCUGGUGAGCCGGUAUGCUCUUCACUGGGUGUGCCGAGGAACCAGGACUUUUACUUUGAAAAAAUUAGAGUGUUUAAAGCAGGCCUAUGCUUGAAUACAUUAGCAUGGAAUAAUAGAAUAGGACUUUGGUUCUAUUUUGUUGGUUUCUAGGACCGAAGUAAUGAUUAAUAGGGAUAGUUGGGGGCAUUAGUAUUUAGUAGCUAGAGGUGAAAUUCUUGGAUUUAUGAAAGACUAACUUCUGCGAAAGCAUUUGCCAAGGAUGUUUUCAUUAAUCAAGAACGAAAGUUAGGGGAUCGAAGACGAUCAGAUACCGUUGUAGUCUUAACCAUAAACUAUGCCGACUAGGGAUCAGACGAUGUUACUUUACUGACUCGUUUGGCACCUUAUGAGAAAUCAAAGUUUUUGGGUUCCGGGGGGAGUAUGGUCGCAAGGCUGAAACUUAAAGGAAUUGACGGAAGGGCACCACCAGGAGUGGAGCCUGCGGCUUAAUUUGACUCAACACGGGGAAACUCACCAGGUCCAGACAUAGUAAGGAUUGACAGAUUGAGAGCUCUUUCUUGAUUCUAUGGGUGGUGGUGCAUGGCCGUUCUUAGUUGGUGGAGUGAUUUGUCUGCUUAAUUGCGUUAACGAACGAGACCUUAACCUGCUAAAUAGUUAUGCCAACUUUUGUUGGUAGUCAACUUCUUAGAGGGACUGUCGGCGAUUAGCCGAUGGAAGUUUUAGGCAAUAACAGGUCUGUUAUGCCCUUAGAUGUCCUGGGCCGCACGCGCGCUAC